rnacentral:misc_RNA from 1 species
AGUCAACAUACAUGUGCUAACUGGCCCUCCAUUCAUUACAUCCACAACGUAUUUGUUACAUUUUUUUUUUACUCCUUUCUUCUUUCUCUCAUCUCUACUUUCCUUUUUCAACUCUCCAUUGAAGAAAUUUCCACAAAAAAAAAUGGAGCUUCCCUUUGGGAAAUACUCCACUUCAACCCAAAGAACCCCAAGAAUAUUCUUACUUUUAGUUUUAGCAGUUGUCGUUUUGGGUAUUAUCCCUCUUUAUCACCCAUUUAAUUGGUACCCAGCAGAUUUAGCAACCCAACAUCCCUCUGAAAUUUCACCCAAUUACCAUGCUGCUGAGGAGCAAAAGAUAAAGAUUAAAGAGCCGGAGACAUGCGAUAUCUUCACCGGCGAAUGGGUCUGGAAUCCGGAUGCUCCAUAUUACACGAAUAUGACCUGUUAUGCGAUCCAUGAACACCAAAAUUGUAUCAAGUAUGGGAGACCCGAUACGGAUUAUUUGAAGUGGAGAUGGAAGCCUAAUGGGUGUGAGCUACCUAUUUUCGACCCGUUUCUGUUUUUAGAUUUGGUUAGGAACAAAUCGUUGGCACUCGUCGGUGAUUCAGUUGGAAGAAAUCAAAUGCAGUCGUUGAUAUGCCUAUUGGCUCGGGUGGAAUAUCCUGUCGAUAUAUCUGAUAAUCCAGAUGAAGCUUUCAAAAAAUACAAAUACACAACUUACAACUUUACAUUAGCAACAUAUUGGUCACCAUUUUUGGUGUCAACAAAAGAAGCUGAUGCAGAUGGUCCAAGCCAUACUGGAGUUUACAAUCUUCACCUUGACAAAGCAGAUGAGAAAUGGACCACUGAAAUUGAAAGAUAUGACUACGUCAUCUUAAAUGCAGGCCACUGGUUUGCCCGGAUCAGUGUAUACUUUGAGAACAACCAACGAGUUGGCUGCCGGUACUGUGGUAUACCAGAUGUUUCUGAACUCCCUAUUACCUAUGCCUACCAAAAGGCAUUCAGAACUGCUCUUAAAGCGAUCAACAAUUUAGAAAAUUUUAAGGGGGUGGCAAUUCUUAGGACUUUUGCACCUUCUCAUUUUGAAGGUGGGGAAUGGAACAAGGGAGGUAAUUGUGCAAGGACAAGGCCAUAUAGAAGUAACGAGACUGCGUUGGAGGGUCAAAGCUUGGAACAAUACAGGAUCCAAGUUGAAGAGUUUAAGGCUGCAGAGGAAGAAGGGAAGGUGAAGGGGAAGAAAUUCAGAUUGAUGGACACAACACAAGCCA